GGCGAGACAGGAGCUCCUUGAACACAGAGUUCAUCUGACGGCUGAUCAUAUCCUGAGAGAGCGAGAGAAGAAGAAGCAAAUGGAGAGAAUAAUCAAGACAUGUAAGGUGCUCUCUCUGCCUGACCAAAUGGAGGUCUGUCUGUAGGUCUGAAGCCAGCCUGUCUCACAGUGUCCAAUGUGUGUCUUCUCUCCUGAGACCUAAAUGACAAAAGUAAUAGAGUAAUUUCUUGGGGCCAAUUUGGUGCAGCGGAAACAAACUGUCUCAAAGUGACACUGACUGAACUUGCUCGUGAACUUUUGCCUUUAAUAAAUCUUGC